UUUUUAGUAUAAUUAUGUCCCAUGCAAAAAUUGGGACGUACUUAUACUAAAA
rnacentral:pre_miRNA from 1 species